GCUUACGGCCAUACCACCCUGAACGCGCCCCCGAUCUCGUCCGAUCUCGGAAGCUAAGCAGGGUCGGGCCUGGUUAGUACUUGGAUGGGAGACCGCCUGGGAAUACCAGGUGCUGUAAGCC
rnacentral:rRNA from 1 species